GACGAACGCUGGCGGCGUGCCUAAUACAUGCAAGUCGAACGCAGUGGGGACGGGUGAGUAACACGUGGGUAACCUCCCAUCAGAGGGGAUAACACUUGGAAACAGGUGCUAAACCGAUACUGAUGGAUGGACACGCGGUGCAUUAGCUAGUUGGUGGGGUCACGGCUCACCAAGGCCACGAUGCAUAGCCGCCCUGGGUGAGUAUUCGGCCACACUGGAAGUGGGACACGGCCCAGACUCCUCCGGAAGGCAGCGGUAGGGAAUCUUCGGCAAUGGACGAAAGUCUGACCGAGCAACGCCGCGUGAGUGAAGAAGGUUUUCGGAUCGUAAAACUCUGUUGUUAGAGAAGCGGUAUCUAACCAGAAAGCCACGGCUAACUACGGGCCAGCAGCCGCGGUAAUU
rnacentral:rRNA from 1 species